rnacentral:rRNA from 1 species
GUUACUAACGACGAUAUGCUUUGGGGAGCUGUAAGUAAGCUUUGAUCCAGAGAUUUCCGAAUGGGGAAACCCAGCAUGAGUUAUGUCAUGUUAUCGAUAUGUGAAUACAUAGCAUAUCAGAAGGCACACCCGGAGAACUGAAACAUCUUAGUACCCGGAGGAAGAGAAAGAAAAUUCGAUUCCCUUAGUAGCGGCGAGCGAAACGGGAAGAGCCCAAACCAACAAGCUUGCUUGUUGGGGUUGUAGGACACUCUAUACGGAGUUACAAAGGACGACAUUAGACGAAUCAUCUGGAAAGAUGAAUCAAAGAAGGUAAUAAUCCUGUAGUCGAAAAUGUUGUCUCUCUUGAGUGGAUCCUGAGUACGACGGAGCACGUGAAAUUCCGUCGGAAUCUGGGAGGACCAUCUCCUAAGGCUAAAUACUCUCUAGUGACCGAUAGUGAACCAGUACCGUGAGGGAAAGGUGAAAAGCACCCCGGAAGGGGAGUGAAAUAGAACCUGAAACCGUGUGCUUACAAGUAGUCAGAGCCCGUUAAUGGGUGAUGGCGUGCCUUUUGUAGAAUGAACCGGCGAGUUACGAUUUGAUGCAAGGUUAAGCAGUAAAUGUGGAGCCGUAGCGAAAGCGAGUCUGAAUAGGGCGUUUAGUAUUUGGUCGUAGACCCGAAACCAGGUGAUCUACCCUUGGUCAGGUUGAAGUUCAGGUAACACUGAAUGGAGGACCGAACCGACUUACGUUGAAAAGUGAGCGGAUGAACUGAGGGUAGCGGAGAAAUUCCAAUCGAACCUGGAGAUAGCUGGUUCUCUCCGAAAUAGCUUUAGGGCUAGCCUCAAGUGAUGAUUAUUGGAGGUAGAGCACUGUUUGGACGAGGGGCCCCUCUCGGGUUACCGAAUUCAGACAAACUCCGAAUGCCAAUUAAUUUAACUUGGGAGUCAGAACAUGGGUGAUAAGGUCCGUGUUCGAAAGGGAAACAGCCCAGACCACCAGCUAAGGUCCCAAAAUAUAUGUUAAGUGGAAAAGGAUGUGGCGUUGCCCAGACAACUAGGAUGUUGGCUUAGAAGCAGCCAUCAUUUAAAGAGUGCGUAAUAGCUCACUAGUCGAGUGACACUGCGCCGAAAAUGUACCGGGGCUAAACAUAUUACCGAAGCUGUGGAUUGUCCUUUGGACAAUGGUAGGAGAGCGUUCUAAGGGCGUUGAAGCAUGAUCGUAAGGACAUGUGGAGCGCUUAGAAGUGAGAAUGCCGGUGUGAGUAGCGAAAGACGGGUGAGAAUCCCGUCCACCGAUUGACUAAGGUUUCCAGAGGAAGGCUCGUCCGCUCUGGGUUAGUCGGGUCCUAAGCUGAGGCCGACAGGCGUAGGCGAUGGAUAACAGGUUGAUAUUCCUGUACCACCUAUAAUCGUUUUAAUCGAUGGGGGGACGCAGUAGGAUAGGCGAAGCGUGCGAUUGGAUUGCACGUCUAAGCAGUAAGGCUGAGUAUUAGGCAAAUCCGGUACUCGUUAAGGCUGAGC